UACGUAGGGGGCUAGCGUUGUCCGGAUUUAUUGGGCGUAAAGAGCGUGUAGGCGGCUUGGUAGGUCUGCUGUGAAAACUCGAGGCUCAACCUCGAGCUGUCGGCGGAAACCACUUGGCUAGAGUCCGGAAGAGGAGAGUGGAAUUCCAGGUGUAGCGGUGAAAUGCGUAGAUAUCUGGAGGAACACCGGUGGCGAAGGCGGCAUCCUGGACCAACACUGACACUGAGGAGCGAAAGCCAGGGGAGCAAACGGG
rnacentral:rRNA from 1 species